GGGAUCAUAGCUCAGCUGGAAGAGCGCAUGACUGGCAGUCAUGAGGUCAAGGGUUCGAGCCCCUUUGGUUCCACCA
rnacentral:tRNA from 1 species